CCUCCUCCCUCCCGGAUCAGUCCGCAUGUUCAUGGCGCCAGCAUUUGUUAUGGAAUAUAUUGAGCAAACCUGGAGAUAUUAUUGUUGUCAUUGCUGUGGAUCUUUACUGACUUGGCUCGGGACCAGCACUCCUGUUGUUGGACAGAAAGACAUCAACUCAGUGACUUGAGAUAUGACUGCACUAUGCUGUUGCUGGUGACUCCAGUUAAUUCUACAAGACAUGCUGUGACACCAGGAGAGAUGAGUCCUCCAUCACAGAUGGUGUGGUCAGUGAAGAUGGUCGCC